GUUUCGCUACGUGCAUCCAUUUGAUUGGUUUACAUUUUCUUUGGGACAACCAUACAAAUACACACACUCAUAGAGAGACAGACUUAAGGGACAGGCCUACACACUCUGAUUCUGAGACACAGAAAUACGUCGGUUUUUAACCUGCUCUUUGGAUUCAACCUGCUCUUUGGAUUGACUUCCAAUAUAUAUUUGCUGAAGUUUCUACAUUUGUUUAACAUUUGUUGGGCCAUGAGCGUGGAAGAGCCAGACCCCAAGGCUUUGAGCAGGUUUUGCGCCUGGGCACGCCAAUCCGGGGCAGAAAGUCAUCUACCAUUAUAGAAUGACUAUCAGAAAGCCCAGUUUAAAUGUAUUGUUUAUUAGUUGUGGUUAGCCUACUAAUCCCCCGUCUAUAGCCAGGAAGGCUUGCAGACACACCCUCAACAUAUUCCCAAACAUACCUUUUGGAUAUUUGAGGCUUUGUCUAUCUAAUUAUUUGACUUUAAGAUGAAAGCUGCUUUCUAAGGUGCUAGCUAUGCUUACAUUACUUUACGACCUGCCACAUUUGAGAUGCACACGUUUGAGAUGCACACUGAACAGUCACUUAAUACUCAGGCUAUAGAUGUUGCUUGCUUCUUUCUGCCCCGAGUUUGCACAGUGCAACAGCGAUGACGUACCUGAGAAAUCCAUGUAUUGAAGACCGGCGAAUAUAUAUAAAAUUAAGGCUUGUAAUGUGAACGCUAUAAUAUGAAGGCUUUCUCAUAACUAUCCUCCUGUUAGUGGCAUUGUUCUUGUCUUGUUUCUAUCAGUAAUAUUUAGUUUAAUUCAUUGUUUUCUAUCUCAUGCAGGACCUUGAAAACAUGCAUCAAGCGAUCAAUUUCAAUAUGUAUUCAAUAAAAUUAUUUGAAUUAUUAAA
ensembl:lncRNA